UUAACAUAUAUGUAAUACUUAUUUAUAUUUUUGUAUAAUAUUAAUUACUAAAGAUGUGUAAUAACAUGAUUGUGGUAUGUUAUCUUUUUUUGCAGGAUUUAUCUGUUUAAUACAGGUACCAGAAGAGAUGGCACAGGAUGCCAAAAUGGAGAAGAACAAAUUGAAGUUAUGAUAAUAAUUAGUCACUCACCAAUUACUGUAGUCAAGUAUAAUUAUGGUGCAACUCUUUUUUAUUGACAAUAAAGAGUACUACACACAGUGACAUUUAAUUUUUUAAUUCACACUACAUUAAAUUUAAAUGUACAUCUUGUGUCUAAAUGUAGUAUGUACAUGCUUGUACAAUUGUACAGCAGGGACUGAGAGAGCAGAAAAGAAAGUUAGUUAUUAUAUUGUAUUAAAAUAUAUUCAAAGCACC